AACGCACAUUGCGCCCCGUGGUAUUCCGCGGGGCAUGCCUGUUCGAGCGUCAUUACAACCCUCAAGCUCUGCUUGGUAUUGGGCCCCGCCGGCAACGGCCGGCCUUAAAAUCAGUGGCGGUGCUGUCAGGCCCUAAGCGUAGUAAUCUUUCUCGCUACAGGGUCCUGGUGGUGCCUGCCAUCAACCCCCAAUUUUCUAUGGUUGACCUCGGAUCAGGUAGGGAUACCCGCUGAACUUAA
rnacentral:misc_RNA from 1 species